CACGUAGGGCGCAAGCGUUGUCCGGAAUUAUUGGGCGUAAAGAGCUCGUAGGCGGUCUGUUGCGUCCGCUGUGAAAACCCGGGGCUUAACCCCUGGCUUGCAGUGGAUACGGACAGACUAGAGGUAGGUAGGGGAGAAUGGAAUUCCCGGUGUAGUGGUGGAAUGCGUAGAUAUCGGGAGGAACACCAGUGGCGAAGGCGGUUGCCUGGAGCUUUGCUGACGCUGAGGCGCGAAAGCGUGGGGAGCGAUCCGG
rnacentral:rRNA from 1 species